UGGUGAUGGUGCUGGCGAUGAUAGUGAGGGUGAUGGAGGUGGUGAUGGUGAUGGCAGCAGUGAUAAUGACGAUUCUUUCUGGAUGUUAGGGAGGGGAGCACCUGGGGUGCAGAGCUGGCACACACAGGGCUCUCUCAAGAGAAAGCCUAGCCCUCUGGGCUGAGGCUCCUGAGCUUUCCCUGUGCGUGACUCGUCCUUCUCCCUGUGGACUCCCCCUCCCAUCCUCAGACCCUCAGACAUCCCCUUUGCCGCUGGCUCAGGGCUUUGUAAUCUGUCCGAAGCCAGUGGCACCUGGUGGUAAGCGAGUCCCUCGGGCAGCGCAGGGGUUCCGGGCCGGAAAGCGGCAUGUGUGAGCCUGGUUUAAUCUGCCACUGCGUUAAUGUGAACGGGAGACAGUUGGCUCUGAGUGCAGGUGUGGGGAAGGUGCCCAAGGAACAAAGAGGCUGCUGGCAGUUCAGAGAGUCUGGGGGGGCUGUGGGGGGCAAGGAGCUUGGAGGGGCUCCACUUCCUCACGUGAGGCCUCAAUUUAACCCUCCAUAAGAUGAGGGGUUGGAACCCGUGACUCAAAAGAUGCCCCCACUCCCCUGCCCGUUCUGCUCUGACAUUUUAUGUCAGUCUGCCCCUCGCUGCCCCCACAGUCCAACGCCUGGGUUCCUAGGGAUGUGUACGCAGAAGUACUUGGUUCCUCCUAGUGACAGGGAACUCUCUACCUCCUAGGAGAGCCCAUGCUGUUGUUGCUGGGCUGCCAGCUUUGCUGCUGUUGACAGCAGUAAGAGUAACAGAAAUGAUCACCUGGGUGAUCCAGGAUCAUCCCUCCAUCUCCAGAUCCCUGACGUAAUCAGGUCUGCGGAGAGGACUGUUGCUAUGUUAGGGAACAAAUUCACAGACUCGGGGGGUUAGGAUGUGGGCAGCUUUGGCCACUAUGCUGUCUACCAUAUCCACUUUACAGGGGAGGAAAGCUAGGCCCAGAGAGGUUAGGUGGCCUGCUCAGAGCUGCACAGCGGCUAGGCAGGGAUUGUAGGAGCUGGGGUUCAAACGCAGGUGGUCGCGUAACCCUACUCGUGUCACCUCCCUGCCUUCGUCCCACUGCUCCCCAGAAAGCUGUCUUCCUAAAGCUGUGUCUCCCUUUAAUCUGCCAGGAGGGUGGGAACAAGGUGGUGUUUUUGAGUGGACACUCUUGUAAUUGGAUAUACUGGGGGACUAUUAAUUCAAUUUAUUCAGAUUUUUUUUUUUUUUUUUUACAUGAAGGCUCUUGUUAUGCAUCACAGUUGGAUACGUUGGUAGGUACAAAAAAGACAAAAAUCCCUGCACUGUGGAGCGUUGGGUCUAGGAAGGUGAGACCAUGUGCCAGCUCACUAAAUAGAUCACGGAGUGAGGAGGGAGGUGAUGGGGCUGGGCUCAGUGCCUGCGGCUGGGCGAGCCCUGCUGAUGGAUGGGUUCUCUCCGGGGUUGGGGUUGGGGUAGGCUGUGCCUUUAGAAGCCCCCUGGCUGCCUGGCAGGGGACGGGGCCAUUGCCACACAUCCGCUCUCGUGAGCCAGGUAACUUUCUGACUCAUUUUUUGAGGGGUAGGGAGCCGGACACCACCCUGCUUUAUAACUGUCAGCAGCUGUUACUGCAUAAAGCAGCUUUUACUGAGGCCACUCUUUCUGGGAAGAGGAGAAAAAUGACCUUUCUGAGAGCCACCUCCCCUCUUCACAGAGGCAGUGGGCGGCCACUGAAGAGUAUUAAGAAGGAAGUGAUCGGCCACAUCUGCACAUAA
rnacentral:lncRNA from 9 species